GUACACUCCUGCGGGAGGCAGCAGUGGGGAAUAUUGCACAAUGGGCGCAAGCCUGAUGCAGCCAUGCCGCGUGUAUGAAGAAGGCCUUCGGGUUGUAAAGUACUUUCAGCGGGGAGGAAGGCGAUAAGGUUAAUAACCUUGUCGAUUGACGUUACCCGCAGAAGAAGCACCGGCUAACUCCGUGCCAGCAGCCGCGGUAAUACGGAGGGUGCAAGCGUCAAUCGGAAUUACUGGGCGUAAAGCGCACGCAGGCGGUCUGUCAAGUCGGAUGUGAAAUCCCCGGGCUCAACCUGGGAACUGCAUUCGAAACUGGCAGGCUAGAGUCUUGUAGAGGGGGGUAGAAUUCCAGGUGUAGCGGUGAAAUGCGUAGAGAUCUGGAGGAAUACCGGUGGCGAAGGCGGCCCCCUGGACAAAGACUGACGCUCAGGUGCGAAAGCGUGGGGAGCAAACAGGAUUAGAUACCCGGGUAGUCCCAUGA
rnacentral:rRNA from 1 species